UGGAGCAGCGACGCCCGUCCGUGCACGCCCCAUCAGUCUUCGGCCCGAGCGCGACUUCGCCUCGGCCGCGAGCGGGUUUCCUGUGUUGCGUACCUACCGAAAUGGAAUUCGGCUGUCCCAACGAUCGCACGUCCGGCUCGGCGCUGCCCCUCCGGGGGCGUGGCGUCGGGCGGACCUCGAAGCGACGCCCGCGUUCCGGGUCGCGCACGUCACGUGCUGCCGUCCCGGCCCGCGGACCGUCGCUCGGGCUCUCGGAUGCGGAACACUCGGAGGGUGCGGGGUCGUCGUUUCGACCCCCGUUUGCCCGGAACGAAAAAAUAAAGUUACCGAACGACGGCCGUCGUUCCGCCGAGGCGUCGGACCCCCGUGUCCGCCGUCCUCCCGGGGCGCCGGCGUCCGUGAGGAAUGCUA
rnacentral:misc_RNA from 1 species